rnacentral:rRNA from 1 species
AGCGAACGCUGGCGGCAGGCCUAACACAUGCAAGUCGAACGAGACCUUCGGGUCUAGUGGCGCACGGGUGCGUAACGCGUGGGAAUCUGCCCUUGGGUGCGGAAUAACAGUUAGAAAUGACUGCUAAUACCGCAUAAUGACUCCGGUCCAAAGAUUUAUCGCCCAAGGAUGAGCCCGCGUCGGAUUAGCUAGUUGGUGAGGUAAAAGCUCACCAAGGCGACGAUCCGUAGCUGGUCUGAGAGGAUGAUCAGCCACACUGGGACUGAGACACGGCCCAGACUCCUACGGGAGGCAGCAGUGGGGAAUAUUGGACAAUGGGCGAAAGCCUGAUCCAGCAAUGCCGCGUGAGUGAUGAAGGCCUUAGGGUUGUAAAGCUCUUUUACCCGGGAUGAUAAUGACAGUACCGGGAGAAUAAGCCCCGGCUAACUCCGUGCCAGCAGCCGCCGUAAAAC